AGUGGCGAACGGGUGNGUAACGCGUGAGGAACCUGCCUCAAANAGGGGGACAACAGUUGGAAACGACUGCUAAUACCGCAUAAGCCCACGGGUCGGCAUCGACCAGAGGGAAAAGGAGCAAUCCGCUUUGAGAUGGCCUCGCGUCCGAUUAGCUAGUUGGUGAGGUAAUGGCCCACCAAGGCAACGAUCGGUAGCCGGACUGAGAGGUUGAACGGCCACAUUGGGACUGAGACACGGCCCAGACUCCUACGGGAGGCAGCAUG
rnacentral:rRNA from 1 species